rnacentral:rRNA from 1 species
UACGUAGGGGGCAAGCGUUGUCCGGAAUCAUUGGGCGUAAAGAGCGUGUAGGCGGCUCGGUAAGUCCGCUGUGAAAGUCCAGGGCUCAACCCUGGAAUGCCGGUGGAAACUGUCGAGCUAGAGUCCGGAAGAGGCGAGUGGAAUUCCUGGUGUAGCGGUGGAAUGCGCAGAUAUCAGGAGGAACACCGAUGGCGAAGGCAGCUCGCUGGGACGGUACUGACGCUGAGGCGCGAAAGCGUGGGGAGCGAACAGG